rnacentral:lncRNA from 1 species
GUUUUUAGAAAGUUUUGGCUGAAACACUUCAGCCAUGUCUGGCACUGCAGUUCCAACAAUUUUGUUUUGCUCUUGUCAAAAAGAAAUGAAAAGGGCUUCUUCUCUUGGGAAGCUCUGGCUUGCUUUGGAGACUGGUCUCGAGACUGGGCACAGCAGCUGCUGUCAUGCUCCCUAUGUGCCUUUUGCUGGCAUAGGAAUAAGCCUUUGACACAUCUCAGCCUGCGAGGGCUGGGGAAGACUUGUCAGGUCCCAGAGCACAGCCUUGUGGGGAGCCUCUCUUCCCCAGCAUGCCCCCUUUCCCCCAGCUCCCCGGGUGCUCUGUGUCAGCCAGCUCCCCUGCUCCCACCACGGGUGUGCUCCACAACCAGGCUGCGAGGCUUCCCUUCCUCUCAGUGCCCACCGGCUGCAACAGCACAUACUGGGCUGCACUGAGUGGGCAGUGAGUGGGGCCACCUGCGCCUGGUGCUAUGGCCACGCUGCACUCAUGGAGAGGCCCUUUGGGCAAGGUACAGCCGGAGGACCAUGCCUGGGGCACUUGUGCGGCUGCACCAGCAUCCCCAGAGCUGCACCAGCAUCCCCAGCAGCUGCCAGACCCACUCAGGUCCUACUUGCUCUGGUAAAACCAGGCAGCAGCUCUCACCUCUGGUCCGCCCCGGUGGCAGGCAGCAGCUGAGGCUGCGGCCAGACUGGAGGGGUCUUUGCACAACCUGGUUUAGUGGAAGGUGUCCCUGCCCAUGGAAGGGGGUUGGCUCUGGAUGAUCUUUAAGGUCCCUUCCAACCCAGACCACUUUAUGACUCUUUGGGGACCUGGCCGGCUUUGCCCUUGCACCUACACCCCUGGGGAAUGUGGGAACCGUUUUACCUCCCGGUUAUUAUUCCCCGGGUAAGAAACACGGGGCUUUUCCUACUCCGGCCUCAGGCGGCGGCCGGGACACACCGCGGUUGGAGGACAGGCGCAAGGGCUCGGCAAGGGUACGGGGCAGCUCCGGUCCCUGCCCCGCCGGUCCCUGCCGCGGCCGCUCCUGGGAGAUGUAGUUUGUGGCGCCCUGCCGCCCGGAGCCAUGGCCGCCCUGUGAGCAUUUGGAGCAUGUGA